rnacentral:rRNA from 1 species
CCUACGGGAGGCUGCAGUGAGGAAUAUUGGUCAAUGGACGGAAGUCUGAACCAGCCAUGCCGCGUGCAGGAAGACGGCUCUCUGAGUUGUAAACUGCUUUUGUACAAGGGUGCACCUGAAUACGUGUAUUCAGCUGAACAUACUUUACGACUAACGAUCGGCUAACUCCGUGCCAGCAGCCGCGGUAAUACGGAGGAUCCAAGCGUUUUCCGGAUUUAUUGGGGUUAAAGGGUGCGUAGGCGGAUUGAUAAGUUAGAGGUGAAAUGUCCGAGCUUAACUCGGGAACUGCCUCUAAUACUGUUGAUCUAGAGAGUAGAUGCGGUAGGCGGAAUGUAUGGUGUAGCGGUGAAAUGCGUAGAGAUCAUACAGAACACCGAUUGCGAAGGCAGAUGACCAAUCUACAUCUGACGUUGAGGCACGAAAGCGUGGGGAGCAAACAGGAUUAGAUACCCCAGUAGUC